AUGGAACGCUGGCGGCAGGCUUAACACAUGCAAGUCGAACGAGUGGCGGACGGGUGAGUAAUGCUUGGGAAUCUAGCUUGUGGCGGGGGAUAACUACGGGAAACUGUAGCUAAUACCGCGUACCAUAGGUUGAGCCCAAGGGGGAUUAGGUAGUUGGUGAGGUAAAGGCUCACCAAGCCGACGAUCUCUAUCUGGUCUGAGAGGCUGACCAGCCACACUGUGACUGAGACACGGCCCAGACUCCUACGGGAGGCAGCAGUGGGGAAGAUUGCGCAAUGGGGGCAACCCUGACGCAGCCAUGCCGCGUGAAUGAAGAAGGCCUUCGGGUUGUAAAGUACUUUCAUGGAGGAGGCGUUACUCGCAGAAGAAGCACCGGCUAACUCCGUGCCAGCAGCCGCGGUAAUAC
rnacentral:rRNA from 1 species